UGGUCAUUACACAUUGAAACACCGCUUCUCAUGGAAUCACCAAAGUUAAACAACAUUGAGCCUGGUCUAGUACUUAGAUGGGUGAGCAUUUAGGAAUACCAUGUGCUGUAAG